AGAGUUUGAUCCUGGCUCAGAACGAACGCUGGCGGCGUGGAUAAGACAUGCAAGUCGAGCGCGAUGCGCUCUGCAGCAAUGUAGAGCGUGUUGAGCGGCGCAAGGGUGCGUAACACGUGGGCAACCUGCCUUGAAGCGGGGGAUAACUCCGAGAAAUCGGAGCUAAUACCGCAUGUGAAUUUUUGGAGGCCUCUCUGAAAGUUCAAAGCUGGGGAUCGUAAGACCUGGCACUUCAAGAUGGGCCCGCGGCCUAUCAGCUAGUUGGUGAGGUAACGGCUCACCAAGGCUAAGACGGGUAGCUGGUCUGAGAGGACGACCAGCCACACUGGAACUGAGACACGGUCCAGACACCUACGGGUGGCAGCAGUCGAGAAUUUUUCACAAUGGGCGCAAGCCUGAUGGAGCGACGCCGCGUGGGGGAUGAAGGGCUUCGGCUCGUAAACCCCUGUCAGCCACGAACAAUGUUCAUGACCUAACACGUCGUGAGUUGAUGGUAGUGGCAGAGGAAGGGACGGCUAACUCUGUGCCAGCAGCCGCGGUAAUACAGAGGUCCCAAGCGUUGUUCGGAUUUACUGGGCGUAAAGGGUGCGUAGGUGGUCGGGUAAGUCUCAUGUGAAAUCCCGCAGCUCAACUGCGGAAUGGCAUGGGAUACUAUUCGGCUCGAGGAUUGGAGGGGGGACUGGAAUUCCCGGUGUAGCAGUGAAAUGCGUAGAUAUCGGGAGGAACACCAGUGGCGAAGGCGAGUCCCUGGACAAUUCCUGACACUGAGGCACGAAAGCUAGGGGAGCAAACAGGAUUAGAUACCCCCGUAGUCC
rnacentral:rRNA from 1 species